UUUUCGGAGAGUUUGAUCCUGGCUCAGGACGAACGCUGGCGGCGUGCCUAAUACAUGCAAGUCGAGCGAACAGAAGGGAGCUUGCUCCCGGAUGUUAGCGGCGGACGGGUGAGUAACACGUGGGUAACCUGCCUGUAAGACUGGGAUAACUCCGGGAAACCGGAGCUAAUACCGGAUAGUUCCUUGAACCGCAUGGUUCRAGGAUGAAAGACGGUUUCGGCUGUCACUUACAGAUGGACCCGCGGCGCAUUAGCUAGUUGGUGGGGUAAUGGCUCACCAAGGCGACGAUGCGUAGCCGACCUGAGAGGGUGAUCGGCCACACUGGGACUGAGACACGGCCCAGACUCCUACGGGAGGCAGCAGUAGGGAAUCUUCCGCAAUGGACGAAAGUCUGACGGAGCAACGCCGCGUGAGUGAUGAAGGUUUUCGGAUCGUAAAGCUCUGUUGUUAGGGAAGAACAAGUGYGAGAGUAACUGCUCGCACCUUGACGGUACCUAACCAGAAAGCCACGGCUAACUACGUGCCAGCAGCCGCGGUAAUACGUAGGUGGCAAGCGUUGUCCGGAAUUAUUGGGCGUAAAGGGCUCGCAGGCGGUUUCUUAAGUCUGAUGUGAAAGCCCCCGGCUCAACCGGGGAGGGUCAUUGGAAACUGGGAAACUUGAGUGCAGAAGAGGAGAGUGGAAUUCCACGUGUAGCGGUGAAAUG
rnacentral:rRNA from 1 species